UGUAGCUUACGUGUUAAAACUGCAGACGCAAUUCUGUACAAUGGGAAAUUUUCCUCCGUGUUAUUUUCGCUUCCAAAACGAAUCAACCAUUUGUAAUAAGAAGAUUCGUCCGGUUUAAAAUUUGUUCCUGUUAAAAAAAAAAAGGCGAAAAUGAAACGAAGCGAAAACUCUUACAGCAGGGGCGGAUUCAGGAAUUGCGGUUACGGGGGCGCCACUUUAUGAGGCAGUGGGUCCAGGGCGAAGCCCCCGAAAGCUCCUGGAUUUUACAGAUUUUAUGGGGCUUGAAAUAUUUCUCCUAUUUAGUCAUUUGUACUAUUUUCUAUCAUUCUAAUAAAGUGAAAUUAAUAAAAUGACCCAAAUAUUAAGGGUGUUUUGUUUUUUUUUGGAAAAAAUUAAGUUCUCCCAAUAAAGUAAUUCAAGAAAUCAAAA